UCCUACGGGGGGCAGCAGUGAGGAAUAUUGGUCAAUGGGCGGAAGCCUGAACCAGCCAAGUCGCGUGAGGGAAGAAGGCCCUGCGGGUCGCAGACCUCUUUGGACGGGGAGCAAGGCCGCCGACGUGUCGGCGGAAGGAGAGUACCCGUAGAACAAGCAUCGGCUAACUCCGUGCCAGCAGCCGCGGUAAUACGUAGGUGGCAAGCGUUAUCCGGAUUUAUUGGGCGUAAAGGGAACGCAGGCGGUCUUUUAAGUCUGAUGUGAAAGCCUUCGGCUUAACCGGAGUAGUGCAUUGGAAACUGGGG
rnacentral:rRNA from 1 species